rfam:Neurospora crassa OR74A unplaced genomic scaffold supercont12.8, whole genome shotgun sequence.
AACUUUUAAUAACGGAUCUUUUAGUUCUAAUAUUGAUGAAGAACGUAGCGAAAUACGAUAAGUAAUAUAAAUUACAAAAUUUAGUAAAUCAUCGAAUCUUUGAACGUAUAUUGUACUCGCUAGUAUUUUAGCGAAUAUACCUAUUCGAACGUUA